UAAAAAAAAGUGACUAUUUCAUUUAGUUUUCGCAUAUUAUCGCGUCCAAAAAUCAGUUCAUUUUAUUUGUUGAAAAAAAAAUCCAACUAAAAUUAUGAAAAUGAGUUCAAGCGAAGCCGAUAAUAUUGAUAAACUUUAUAAAAACUAUGAAAUUCUCAGCGACGCUAAAGACAACAUUUCUUAGUAUUCGAACAAACGUCAUGCACCAAUCACGUUCCAAUCGGAUGCGUCAAACGAUGCAAAGCGAAAGAAGAUCGGUGCAAAGAGCACCACUUCGCCAACAUCGUCCGAACAACUUUUGUAUAAAACGCCAUCGGGUAAAUUUUCGGAAAUAACAAUCGGAACGGGAACGGUGAAGACAUCAUUGAUGCUACCAUAUUACCAGAUGAUCGGGAGCCAACGCAAGACCAGAGGGAACCCCUCCAAGUGCAAAUCGACGGAUUGCGAUUAGAAUUGGUCGGACUAAAGAAUCUGAACAAUGAUCUUCAGGAGCAAGUCGACGAUUUGAAGACCCAUGCAAGAUGCUGUAAAUGCGGAGCUAUGAAUGGAUUAUUCUAAUAUCUUUUUUUUUUCAUUAUUCUUAUAUAAGAAUAACUAACGUUCAGAAACAAAAAAUAGCAUUUCGAUUAAUCUUUUUUCAUUUAUUAUU